ensembl:lincRNA
AUGACUCUGGGGACCCACCUGUGGGUAAAGAGCCACCUACUCUGUGGCCUACGCCUGCCUCCUUGGUUCAGUUCCCAAAGACAAGGGGGAGAUGCAUUGGUGACCCCAGGAGGGACUCAAGCUAUUUUUUGUCCUUUCUUUCAGGUUCCCACACCCACCCCAGGCUGGGAGAUGAGCUGUGGCAGUUCUGGAAAUCCGUCUCCCUACCAGGCCUUAAAGAGCGACUGUCUGCGACUGUCUGCGAUUACCAGGGACGGACUGCGAUCAUCUCCUGCUGCCUGCCGCUUUACCUGCAGUCUCUCAUUUACUUCUCGAGAAGUUCCUCCAAGUUCGUGGAAGCACGGCCCCAUUUUGCAGAGGAGAACCCUGAGCAUCUACGGGGCAAAGGAACUUGCCAAGGCGCCAGGCUAAUCUCUGGUGGCAGGAUUGGCUCCGCAAUUCAUGGAGCCUAGUGCGACCUGAAAGUGAGGUGCUCCUGAUUUUAAAAAUUAAGAAUUUCAAGACAGCAGUGGGAACACAAAACCGGUAAUGGACUCUUCUGAGCACGGGCCCAGGGCCAAGUUGCUCUGCAGGGAUUUGAACUCCUGCCUAGAGAUUCCAGAAUCUAACUCUUACCCCGGUCCCUUCCAAACUCUACACCUUAUCCUGCCUCAGAGCUUCUGCUGGACUCUGACUCUUCCUCUUCUCUUCCCCACCCCUACCCUCACCCAGCAAGCUUCAGACCACACCCCCCCACCCCCACUUCCUUGAUGAGGGGAAAAAUUGGAGGCUGCGAGGAGCUUUAGACCAGAUAAGAAGAUCCGGGUGGAGGAAGGCUGGGGCUGCAGCUGGUGAGGGGUCAAGUCUCAGAAGCCCCCCGAUUUUCUCUCUCCCUGGGGCUGUCGGGGAGGUAAAUCCAGGACAAGGCUGUCUAUUCCAGACAACUGAGAACCUUGAAACCUGGGGGUGCACUUCAAGGGCAGAGCCACAAUUAAAUGGCAAUAGAGCCCCAUGUUUUUAAGCCUUAACAAGGACUCCUGGGGCUGGAAUUUGACCCCAGGGCUUGCGUCUCCCCAGUGCAGCCAAACGGAUGGGCAGAUCAGGCCUCUGGCCCAGAGUUCCAACCCUGCCUGGCCUGCAACCCCAAAUGUCCCCAAGGGGGACAAGGCCAGCCCUUGGCCAGACGUAGGCAAUGCUUAGGACACAGAGUGAGGCUGUGCGGCCAAGCAGGGGUACCGCCUGUGUGACCUUAGGAAAAGUGCAUAACCUCUCUGAGCCUCCGGUUUAAAUGGGACAUGCAGAGGCCCCUGGGUGGCUCAGUUGGUUGAGCAUCUGACUCUUGAUUUCAGCUCCAGUCAUGAUCUCAGGGUCCUGAGUUCAAGCCUCCCAUCGGGUUCCACACUUAGCAUGGAAUCUGCUUGAGAUUCUCUCCAUCUCUCUCCGCCCUGCUUCCCAACCUGGUGUCACGCACGCACUCACUCUCUCUCAAAAUAAAAUCUUUUUAAAAAGGUAAAUAAGGUGGCCCCUGGGUGGCUCAGUUAGUUGAGCAUCUGCCUUUGGCUCAGGUCAUGAUCCCAGGGUCCUGGGAUCAGGCCCCACAUCAGGCUCUCAGCUCAGCGGGAAGCCUGCUUCUCCCUCUCCCACUUGUGUUCUCUCUCUCUGUCUCUCUCUGUCAAAUAAAUAAAUAAAUAAAUAAAAUCUUUAAAAAAUCAAAAUGAAAAAAUAAAAAAGGUUAA